GGGGUUGUGGCUCAGUGGUAGAGCACUCGGCUAGCAAGUGUGGGGUCCUGGGUUCAAUCCUCAGCACCA
rfam:Ictidomys tridecemlineatus contig078026, whole genome shotgun sequence.